rnacentral:sRNA from 1 species
UUCAUGCCGUAACAUGAAGUUUUGCAUAUCCCGCUGCUAGCGGGACAGUGAACUGAAUGUGGCUAU